GACGAACGCUGGCGGCGUGCUUAACACAUGCAAGUCGAACGGAAAGGCCCUGCUUUUUUGGGUUGCUCGAGUGGCGAACGGGUGAGUAACACGUGAGUAACCUGCCCUUGACUUUGUGAUAACUUCAGGAAACUGGGGCUAAUACCGGAUAGGAGCUCCUGCUGCAUGGUGUGGGUUGGAAAGUUUCGGCGGUUGGGGAUGGACUCGCGGCUUAUCAGCUUGCUGGUGGGGUAGUGGCUUACCAAGGCUUUGGCGGGUAGCCGGCCUGAGAGGGUGACCGGCCAGAUUGGGACUGAGGUACGGCCCAGACUCCUACGGGAGGCAGAAGUGGGGAAUAUUGCACAAUGGGCGGAAGCCUGAUGCAGCAACGCCGCGUGCGGGAUGACGGCCUUCGGGUUGUAAACCGCUUUCGCCUGUGACGAAGCGUGAGUGACGGGAAUGGGUAAAGAAGCACCGGCUAACUACGUG
rnacentral:rRNA from 1 species